rnacentral:lncRNA from 1 species
AUCCUGCGGACCCCACACCCUGCCCCUGCUGGACUCAGUUGGCUGACCUCGCCCCAGGGGCUGCUCAUGAUUUGAAAGUUGUCAUUGAUAAGGCGGAUAAUGGUGAGCAGACGCUCAUCAUCAUAGUCGAAGCGGCUGCCGAAGAGCACGGAACAGAUAAUGUUGGACCGUGAGCGACUCAGCACAAACGUGGGGUCAAAGGGCUCGCCUGAGGGUGAAGAAUGGAAUGGGUCAGGAAGACGCGAUGUGCAGCACACCAGACCUCAUGCAGCAACACCAUUAAUUUGCACAACAUCCGACUCAACCAUGGCAACGUGUCUUACGGUGCAAACACGGGCACAUGGUCACAACAUGCUGCUUAACAACACCCCAAAAGCAUCUGUCAAUGCCACAGACAGCACCGAACCCACAGCUUCCUGCAGCACAUCGACAGCAACAACGCCCAACCACAGAACAGGUUGGCAACACACACACAGCACGCGACAUAGCACAAGGCAAUCAUCAGGCAUCACGGAACACAACAACACAGGGCAACAGAACACCCAGCAAAUACGAUCACAGUACAUGCCAACACACGACACGCAGUGACCUAAUAGCCAGCCCGGAAACAUCCCAAGACACGGUAACCACACACCAACACGUAAUGCCAGCAUACCGCUACAUAAUCCUGCCACACAACACACGCUAGUACACAGCAACCCAGCAGACAGCACAGAACACACGAUGUGGCAUCACAACACAUACAGUCAAGGCAGCAGAACAAAGGACACACUAUGCAGCAACGCAACAACGUUGGCAGCCAGCAGAUGACACAAUGCAAAAUCACAUGCAGUGCCUGACAACUCUACAAUCUCACCCAGAAAUAUCUCAACACAACACGUAGCAUCUGGCCGUCCAACAGCUGAACAGACCAUAGUAAAUACUGAACAACACAUUUCUUUCUUUCCUUUUUUCGAGAUGAAAUCUCGCUCCGUCGCCCAUGCUGGAGUGCGGUGGCACGAUCUCAGUUCACUGCAACGUCUGCCUCCCAGGUUCAAGAGAUUCUCCUGCCUCAGCCUCCCAAUGAGCUGAGAUCACACCCGGCUAAUUUUUUUGUAUUUUUAGUAGAGAUGGGGAUUCACCAUGUUGUCCAGACUGGUCUCGAACUCCUGACCUCAAGUGAUGUGCCCACCUUGGCUUCCCAAAGUGCUAAGAUUAUAGGCAUGAGCCACCGCGCCUGGUCUAGUUUUUGUAUUUUUUGUAGAUACAGGGUUUCACCAUGUCGCCCAGGCCGGUUUCGAAUUCCUGAGCUCAAGUGAUCCACCACCUUGGCCUCCCAAAGUGCUAGGAUUACAGGCGUGAGCCACCAUGCCCGGCCAAAACAGCAUAUUUCAACACAGCACCCAGGACACAAUAGCACAGCCCAAAAAACCAGAUCUGGAGUUAGAUGGACGCGGUUUGAAUCCUCGUUGGUCUCUUAGCCUUGGUGUGACUUGGGCAAACUGACUUCCUUUUUCCGAGCCUCAGUCUUCUCAUCUGUAAAAUGGGCCUGAUGGCACUCCUCUCAUCCUGGGGCUACUAUAAGGAGUCAGUGAGUGUGUGACUGGGAGUCAGUGAAGGGCCUGACCCAUUGCAAGGCUGUUACAGAUCAUGGUGUUGUGGCAGGUUGUAAUGCCCCCCAAAAGAUGUCCAGGUCCUUAUCCUUACAACCUGUGAAUUUGUUACCUUACAUGGUAAAAAGGACCUUGCAGGUGGGAUUAAGUUGAGGAUUUUGAGAUGAGAAGUUUACUCUAGACUGUCUGGCUGGGCCUAAUGUAAUCACAGGGAUCCUUUUUAGAGGGAGGCAGGAGGGACUGAGUAAGAAAAGAUAAUGUAGGCUGGGUGUGGUGGGUCACACCUGUAAUCCCAGAAUAUAUUGGGAGGUUGAGGAAGGAGGAUUGCUUGAGCACAGGAGUUUGAGACUAGCCUGGGCAACAUAGCAAGACUCCCUCUCUAUAAAAAGUUAAAAGAAUGAGUUGAAUGUGGUGGCACAUGCCUGUAAUCCCAGCUACUUGAGAAGCUAAGGCGGGAGAAUCAGUUGAGCUCAGGAGGUCAAGGCUGCAGUGAGCCAAGACCAUACCACUGCACUCCAGCCUGGGCAACAAGAGUGAAGCUUCAUUUCAAACAAACAAACAAACAAUCAAACAAGUAAACAAACAGACCCCAAACUAUUAUUUUACUUCUGGGGCCCAGAAUUCCAAAAUCAGCUUCACUGGGAUAAAGUCAAGGUGUCAGCAGGGCUGGUACCUCCUGGAGCCUUGAUAAGAGGAUCCAUUUCCUCGCCUUUUCAGCUUCUGGUCGCCCCUUUAUUCCUUUGUGCGAAGCCCCUUCAUCCAUCUUCAAAGCACAUCACUCCAGUCUCUGCUUCCAUCCUCACAUUGUCUCUCUCUGGCUCUUCCUGCACUCCUCUUUUUUUAAAAUUAAUAUUGCCACAUUAUUUUAAAUUAUGUACAAAGACCUAACAUGUCACUCAGGGACCAUUUCACCCACUGCUCUAUUUAGCCGCCAGUCUCUUCAGCAAUGGUGAGGGUUUGGUGUACACAUUAUUUCAUCACCCAGGUAAUAAGCAUAGCACCCGACAGGUAGUUUUUCGGUCCUCACCCUCCUCCCAUCUUACCCUCAAGUAGGCCCUGCUGUUUGUUGUUCCCUUUUUUGUGUCAAUGUGUAGUCAAUGUUCAGCUCCCACCUAUAAGUGAGAACCUGUGGUGUCUGGUUUUCUGUCCCUGCAUUAGUUCACUUAGGAUAGUGGCUUCCAGCUCCAUCUAUGUUGCUGCAAAAGACAUUAUCUUGUUCCUUUUUAUGGCUGUGUAGUAUUCCAUGGUGUAUAUAUACCACAUUUUCUGUCUUUCUCCUUCCUUCCUUCCUUCCUUCAUUCCUUCUCUCUCUCUCUCUUUCUUUCUUUCAGACAGAGUCUUGCUCUGUUGCCCAGGCUGGAAUGCAGUGGUGUGAUCUCAUCUCACUGCAACUUCUGCCUCCUGGGUUCAAGUGACUUCUCCUGCCUGAGCCUCCCAAGUAGCUGGGAAUACAGGUGCCCGCUACUAUGCCUGGCUAAUUUUUUUGUAUUUUUAGUAGAGACGGGGUUUCACCAUGUUGGACAGGCUUGGUCUCGAACUACCGACCUCACGUAAUCCACCCACCUUGGCCUCCCAAAGUGCUGGGAUUACAGGCGUGAGUCACCACGCCCAGCCCACAUUUUCUUUAUCCAGUCUACCACUGAUGGGCAUUUAGGUUGAUUCCACAUCUUUGCUAUUGUGAACAGUGCUGCUGUGAACAAAGGUGUGCACGUGUCUUCAUGGUAGAACGAUUGAUAUUCCUUUGUGUAUAUACUCAAUAAUGAGAUUGCUGGGUCGGAUGGUAGUUCUAUUUUAAGUUUUUUUAGAAAUCACCAAACUACUUUUCACAGUGGCUCUUGGCUUAAAUUUGGAAGCAGAGGUACACUCCCUUUACACCUGAUUUUUAAAUUUCUUUUCUCCUUGAUCAGAUAAUAUGUUGACACUAUCCAAAAUUCAAAAGAUACAAAAUGAUGGAAAGUGAAAUUUCUUCAACCCAGUUUCCCUUGCCAAGUUGAUACUAAUGUUACCAGUUUCCAGGUUAUUCCAUACACAAAUAUACAAAUAGUAACUUACUAUAUCCACUGUAUCUGUCAGGUUGGGUUGGAAUUUUUUUUCUUUUUCUUUUAAGACCGUCUCACUCUGUCUUUCAGGCUGCAGUGCAGUAGGGCAAUCUUGGCUCACUGCGACCUCUGCCUCCCGGGCUCAAGUGAUUCUUGGGCCUCAGCCUCCUGAGUAGCUGAGAUUACAGGUGUGUGCCACCACACCUGGCUAUUUUUUGUAUUUUUAGUAGAGACAGGGUCUUGCCAUGUUGGCCAAGCUGGUCUUGAAUUCCUGGUCUCAUGAUCUGCCCACCUCAGCCUCCCAAAGUGUUGGGAUUAGAGGUGUGAGCUCCUGGCCAUUGUGCUGGGUAUUCUAUUUGCCCUACCAUCUCCACUCUCCACCAUGACCUGUCUUUUAGAAGGGUGGCCUCUAUAAACUGUACCACCCAUGCUCCCUUCACCUCUACAUUAAAAAAAUUUUUGGGUUUGGCCAAUGGAAGUUUGAGAGAAGAGCAAUGUCAGAUUAUUUUGCUUGGCUGUGUGAUAGCAAUGGUUGUAUUCCUCUGCCAGAAACCAUGCCCUCCUGCUGGGGGCUCUCUUUUACCCCUAUACAAUCAGUCUCGGUUUCGGAAACUACUCCCUCUCACUGCACCUUUCAACCUAAGGAUGAUGAUGGCGUCUCCUUAUUGUAAGCCAUAGAGUGCUUCAACGUCUUGUAGGGUUCUUUCACACUGCCCUCCACUUUGUAAAAAGUCCCUCCAUUGGCCAGGCGCGGCGGCUCACACCUGUAAUCCCAGCACUUUUGGAGGCCGAGGCGGGCGGAUGACGAGGUCAGGAGAUCGAGACCUUCCUGGCUAACAUGGUGAAACCCUGUCUCUACUAAAAACACAAAAAAUUAGCCGGGCGUGGUGGCGGGUGCCUGUAGUUCCAGCUACUCGGGAGGCUGAGGCAGGAGAAUGGCCUGAACCCGGGAGGCGAAGCUUGCAGUGAGCUGAGAUCGCGCAAUUGCACUCCAGCCUGGGCGAAACAGCGAGACUCCGACUCAAAAAAAAAAGUCCCUCCAUUAAGCACUCAUAUUUUUCUGCUGGGGUUCUGAUGGACCAAGUCUAUCAAAUGAAUGCAUCAUAAUUUGUUUAACCAAUAUCUUGGUGCAUAUGUUGGUUUCCUAUUUUUCAUUAUGUAAACAGUUCUUUGAUGAAUCUAGGUGAUUUUGCACACUUUCUUGUACAUCAUAGGAGACAUUACUAGAAGUGGAGUUAACUGAAUCUGAGAGUAUGUUCUUUUGUAAUUUAGAGAAAAGCAUUCACAUUACUCUCCUCUGAAGCUGUACCAAUUUAUAGUUCCACAAACCGUAACUGAGAGUAAGGAUUGCUCUGGGAGGCUGAGGUGGUAGUGGAUACUAGCCUGGGCCCUAUAGCGAGACACCAUCUAUACAAAAACAUUAAAAAAAGUUCUACUACUAGGGUGUGGGAGAAUGCACCUGUGGUCCCAGCUGCUUGGGAGGCUGAGGUGGGAGGAUUGCCUGAGCCAGGGGGUUAAGGCUGCAGUGAAUUAUGAUUGUGACACUGCAUUCCAGCCUGGGUGACAGAGCAAGACACUGUCUCAAAAAGACAAAAAAACCCACCCCAAACAACCAACAAAAUUGGAGGCCAUGAUUUCACACCCAGUGAUCCUAAUAGCUCAAAUUUUGAAUUAGAGACUGUGGUUUUAACAUCUGCUAAAUUCCUUAUGUUGAGGAAUCACUGAGUCAAAGGUUUCAGCCUCUUUCCAAGGGGGAGAGCACGUGGACAAUUACAUCUCAUGCAGGCAUUUGGUUUUAUGGACUCACGUGCUUGUUACAAAACCAGACACAGCUUUAGGGCUUCUUAUUACCUUCCCCCACCCGUCCUUGGUAGAAGAGUCAACAAAUGACAUCUAAGCUGCCAACACAUAUUGGAAAAUGUUUGAAACUUGAGAUCUGUGGUUUAUUAUGAAACAGGCAGUGCCCUGGAGUUUGAAUUUUUUCCCAGUUGGUCUUAGUACCCUGUCUGCAGAUUGAGGGGAAAGGGCAGGAAGGGGAGUAAAUGUAGUUAAGAGCAUAGCCUCAGCUGGGUGUGGUGGCUCACGCCUGUAAUCCCAGCACACUGGGAGGCCAAGGAGGGUGGAUCGCUUGAGGUCACAAGUUCAAGACCAGCUUGGUCAACAUGGUGAAACCCCCAUCUCUACUAAAAAAUACAAAAGUUAGCCAGGUGUGGUGGUAGGUGCCUAUAAUCCUAGCUACUCGGGAGGUUGAGGCAGGAGAGUCACUUGAACCCGGGAGGCAGAGGUUUCAGUGAGCCGAGAUUGUGCCACUGCAUUCCAGCCUGGGUGACAGAGUGAGACUGUCUCAAAAAAAAAAAAAAAAAGCAUAGCCUCUAGAGUCAAACAGAUCUGACUACUACAUCUGUGCUAGGUACUUUCAGUGGUUGAAUCUUAAUGAUUCUGACUCUGUUUGCUCACAUGUAAAAUGUGGAUGAUCAUAGAACCUUUAUCACAGAUUUGUGAAGACUGCAUUGCACACUCCAUGAAAAGUUAUCCUUAGCACAGCAUCAGGCACAGGGAAGCUCAACGCCUUGAAGGUGCUGUUUUUAUUUCUAGGUCCCUAAGAUCUUCCUCGUCCUCCUUAUGGCUCCCCCCUUUAUUCUCCAUAUUUGUUCCUUCCUUGAAAGUCAAGGGUGCAGGAAGAAGAUGAUAUCCUGGAGGCCAAGCCCACACAAUUAGGACAUGUGGUGGACAUUCACCUGUUCUUAGAUCCACUGCUGCUCUUCCUCUGCUUGUCUAUCACAAGGGGCUGACACCUGCACACUAAUUCUGUCUUGAGGGAGACUGUGUAGGGGAACAUGGCCAUUUGAGUUCAUUAGGAAAGGGUUUUGAGGUCAGGACAUGGGUAUCUGGUGUACAUGGGAGUUUGGUGGCCUCUAUUGUAGGAGGCUUUGGAAAUGUGUAUUGUUGGGAGGUCCUGAGGGAGGAAGUUUGGGAUGAACAUGGAGAUUCUAGGCUGUGGAGGAAGAUGUAACAUGGCUAUUGGAGGAUUCUGGGACCUUACCUUGGUACCUUGGUACCUUGGUAAUGAGGACAUCUUCAGCUUUAUUUUUAUGUAUUUACUUUUUUUUGAGAUGGAGUCUCACUCUGUCACCCAGGUUCGAGUGCAGUGGCGUGAUCUCAAAAUACUAAAAAUUAGCUGGCUGUGUUGGUGGGCACCUGUAGUCCCAGCUACUUGGGAAGCUGAGGCAGGAGAAUCGCUUGAACCUGGGAGGCAGUGGUUGCAGUGAGCUGAGAUCACGUGGCUGCACCUCAGCCUGGGUGACAGAGUGAGACUCUGUCUCAAAAAAAAAAAAAAUGUUCAUCCCUCAGCUGCUCAGCCGGCAGUCGUUCUUUUCUCAGUAGCUGUUUUCUCCUCAGCUUUGUGGAGUCUUUCCCUCAGCCUGUGCAGCUCUGUAUUCAGCCAAUGAUUUGAGGCCACUGUAAGCAGCUCUUUCCCUUUGGAGCUCUUUUUGUAAGCAAAAGCUCAGUUUCUUACGUAAGAAAACCCAAUUCCCCUUGAGGAAGAGAAAGAGCUGGAGUCCUUUAAAAUUAACUGCCUGUUUUUCUGUGGCUAGGGAGCCUUAUCUCUCCCUUUGCCAGGCAUUGUGAAGACUCUGUUUCUCUAGCUGUGCAGCUGCAAGGUCACUAGACAGAUAAUCUCAAGUCGUAAAAUAUGCCGUUCCUUGAAAAGUAAGAAAUGAUGUAAUGCAUGUCUCUACUGAAUAAGUGUCUUUGUUUCUCGCUUCUGUUGUAUGCUUCCCCCUGCACAGAUCUCUUCCUGCCCCAGAAAUGCUUAAAAGGUAACUGGACUCUUUGUUUGGGGCUCAGUCAUUUUGGAUGUUGAUCUGACUGGGCCGGUGCACCUAAAUAAUAAUAAGAAAUCCUCCUCAACCCCUCAGUCUCUCUGAUUCCUAAAUUAUCUCACUGCAAAGGCAGGAGAAUUGCUUGAGCCCAGGAGUCUGAGACCAACCUGGGCAACAUAGUGAGACCCUGUCUCUACAAAAGAUUAAAAAAUUAGCCAGGCAUUGUGGCGCAUGCCUGUGGUCCCAGCUACUCGGGAGGCUGAGGUGGAAGGAUUGCUUGAGCCCAAGAGGUCCUGGCUAUGGUGAGCUAUGAUCACACCACUGCCUUCCAGCCUGAGUGACAGAGCAAGACCUUGUCUCAAAAAAAAAAAAAAAAAAAAUUGGGCUGGGCAUGAUGCCCCAGGCCUGUAAUCCCAGCACUUUGGGAGGCUGAGGUUGGUGGAUCACCUGAGGUCAGGAGUUCAAGACCAGCCUGUCAAACGUGGUGAAACCCUGUCUCUACUGAAAAAUACAAAAAUUAGCCAGGUGUGGUUGUGUGCACCUGUAGUCCCAGCUACUCGGGAGGCUGAGACAGGGGCCUAGGAUUAAAUAAGGAGUUUUGGCAAAACUAGGCUGGAACUCCAAAACCUGCUACAUAAGUACUCACGAGGGUUGCUAGUUAUUAGUAUUAUUACUUUGUUGUUAUUUGGCUCUGGUCAGAUUUCAAUUAACGUCACAAUAGGAUUUAAACAUUUCUUUUAUUAUUUUUAAGAUUUUAGGCCAGGCGCACUGGUUCCCAGCACGUUGGGAGGCCGACGGGGGUGGAUCACCAGAGGUCAGGGGUUGGAGACCAGCGUGGCCAACACAGUGAAACCCCUUUUUUACUAAAAAUACAAAAAAAUUAGCUGGGCGUGGUGGCAUAUGCCUGUAACCCCAGCUAUUCGGGAGGCUGAGGCCAGGAGUUUGAGACUAGCCUGGGGAAAUAGUGAGACCUUGUCUCUACCAAAACAAAACAAAACAACCAACAACAUUAGGCCAGGCGUGGUGGCUCACACCUGUAAUCCCAGUACUUUGGGGGGCUGAGGCGGGUGGUGGAUUGCCUGAGGUCAGGGGUUUGAGACCAGCCUGGGCAACAUAGUGAAACUCUGUCUCUACUAAAAUACAAAAAUUAGCUGGGCAUGGUGGUGGGCACCUGUAAUCCCAGCUACUUGGGAGGCUGAGGCAGGAGAAUCGCUUGAACCUGGGAGGCGGAGGUUGCAGUGAUCCAUGAUCCGGCCAUUGCGCUCCAGCCUGGGUGACGAAAGUGAAAUUCCAUCUCAAAAAAAAAAAAAGUUAGCUGGAUGCUGGAUGUGGUGGCAUGUGCCUAUAGUCAGCCACUCAGAAGGCUGAGGUGGGAGGAUCACUUGAGCCUAGGAGUUCAAGGCUGCAGGGAGCCGUGAUCAUACCACUGCACUCCAGCCUGGGCAACACAGCAGACUCUGUCUCAAUUAAAAAAAAAAAAAGCGCAGAAGAAUAUUGGUUUAUGGAGAGUAUUAUUUUAAGUUUUAGAAAUUUUCUAUGCAAAACAAACAAUGGAAAAUAAGAAAUGCAUUACUCUAUAAUAAAAUAUAGCCUUUUCUCUCCCAUAUAUAUAUAUGAGUGGAUAAAAACAGUCAUAACUUCCUACACAUUUAAUCCUCUAUACUAACUCUCAUACCCACUUACCACUCCCUCAAUGACAAACAUACCAAAAAGAUGCUAAAUAAAUGAAAACAAUACUUUGUAUUCUUAACUAUGUAAAGUAUUGUACUUAACAGGUAUUUUCUUGGCUGACUGGUUCUCCAUACCCAACAAACACAGUGAUGUCAACUCUCACCACUCAUAUUAAACAAUAUAGCCAUUGCUGUAAAGUACAAAAGAGAAAUGCAGUACAAAUUGAAAAGGAGGAAAUAAAACUUUUAUUCAUCGCUGAUAUUAUCAGAUACAUAAAAUCCCAAGGAGACAAAAGCUACUACUAAUGAGAUUAGAAGGAUCCCAGAAACAGACACAGACGUGCACACACACCUCCCCACAGACACAGAUACACACUCACA